AUUCUUGUCUGCAAUGCUUCAGCUCAUUAGAAAGACUUUCUGCUGCUUUCUAUUUGUGUUGGAGACAGCUAUUUUCAGUAUUUCAGAAACUAAUAGGACACAAAACAGGUAGUCAGUUGGUACCUUUACUAUUCACUAUAUAUAUUCAUCUGAUUGGCUGUGGUUUCUUUUACUUCCACUGUUGUUUCAUAUUCAAGGAAAGGAAAAGGACCCUGCUGUCUGGCAGCCUGUAGCUUCAAGAAAAGUUCUUGUUCAUGAAGCAUGUCUGGAAUGCGACUGCAUGCUGCCCAGGUACCUAUCAGAUUAUCCCCUGUCACGAUCUGCUCAACCCGAGUGGGAGCCGUGAGGGUUUGUUUGACCCCAGGGUGCAAAAGACAAAAAGCAAGAGACUCAAGUUUUACUCAGCAGCAAGUAGCAACGCAGUUUGUGUGCCAACAAUUCCGUUUUGCGAUAGAAGGGAGAGAGAGGUAAAGGAAACGAAGUAAAAGGGGAGAGAGAGAGAAAGGAUGGGGAUGUAGCUACCAACAGACGGGACGCAUCCUCGUGGUCGUCUGACGAUAGACGCGUCUUGGAUCCAUCGGGGAGAAAGAGAUGUCAGUGUCUCUUUAAGAAAGUCACUUUUCAGAGUCCUUUUCCAAAGCGAGUGGCCUCUGGCCAAAAGGUGGAGAGAUUUAUGGACUAUUGUAUGUGGAGAUUGUUGCUCCAAGAAACAGGUGCAGGAACAGGGCGCUAUAACCAGUACCCUGCUCAAGAGCAGUGUACCAUGGCAAGCACCAGGCACACCUACAAACAGUUCCUUGGCAAGCAUCCACCUCAGCCAGGCCAGAACUCAGGUCCAGAGUGAGCAGUGGAGUCCUGGGGUCUCAGUCUCUGAUGAUGAUUGUGAGGUCAGACUGACCCUUACACCCUCUAUGCAGAAAAAUGACAGCAAAACAGUGGAGAUACCUGACUUGCUCUAAAAUGACUGCACUGGAUCUCUAGCAGUCAAGAUGCAGCACUGCAGAGCUCAGUACCAACGUGAACAGCAGCAGAGGAGAGCUGUGCUAAGCACAGGCAUUAUCUGGCAACGCCUCAGAUUUCCAGGCAUCAUCUCCACAUUUUUUCUGCAAUUCUAUUUCCAUGAACUUUUAAGCUCUGAGAUAAAGCAAAGCAGUGAUAGCCAAUAACCAGAGGCACCUAAUUGAACUUCAGGUUACUGAAUUUCAUUGGAAAGAAUGUGGCAGUAUUUCCAACUUUUGCUUUUCUAACCUGGGAGGCAUUUCUAGUCUUUCAGACUUCCAGCUUUGCCAGAAAAUGUAGCUGCUAAUACAUACCAGUUGUGUUAAAUUGGAAGAACAUCCCCUGAAUUGCUUAAGCUGAAUUCGAAAUGCAAAAGAAGUGAUCCCAAACCGCAAUUAUCUUUUGAAAAACUUAAGCAAGAAAGCACUAAAUCCUUGAGGAGUAUUUAAAUCCUCCACCCUUUUAAAUGCUAAAGGAUGUUAUAUUUAAACUGUGAGCUAAACACGAGGGAUCUCUGAUGAUUCCCAAUGCAGCUGGCAAGACAGCAUUUGGUUCCAGGUAGCUCAUGGUGCUCCAGAGUCUGUGAUCCAGUCAAAUGAUGCUCUUCCUCUGCUUGCUUCACACAAGAGGUAUGCGA